CAUGGCAAGUGGAGACAAAUCAUUCCAGCUUCCUCCCCAUUCUCCUCUCUGCUGAGUUCUACAAGGGCAACACUGAGGCUAAGGAGAAAGAUCUUGCUUGAAUUACUGAACUCAGGGCCUACACGGUUAUCUCCUGCUGCUACCAAACCGCUUGAUGAUGUAGAUGGGAUGCUAUCAUCAGGAUUCACUGUCUCUUCUGCAAUUCCAGAAUUCCAGAAUUCUCAUUAUCCACAACUUGGUUUUUUGAAGUAGGAACUAAUAGGAACUCCUUUCACUCUGAUUGGCUCCAGUGAGCAGAGCAAUUCAACUCAUGGGAAGCCAGAGGAAGAGGUGCUGGCGGAGGAGGAGGAGGAGGGAAGCUCCACUGCAUCCAUUUGCCAUUUGGGAGCCACUGGCUAAACAUCGGCUCAGCCGAGAGCUGUUCACAUGAACGGAAAAGAAAAAGCCGCUUCCCAUGAAUACCUCUACCAGCAACCCUUUGGAUAAGCAGAAUGCAGCUGCAGCUGAACAAGAUAAACCUCCUCCAUCAAGAUGAUGAACAAUUUGGAUGAAGAGCCUUCGAGAUGAAGACAAAAGCUGAAGAAGUGAAGCUGAUACAGCCCAAGACAGCUAAAGAAUGCAGCAGCCUGCAGAUGAAUAGCCCUCAUUUGUGAAUAUACAGAUUUUCCGUGAUGAAUAAAAACGGAGUGUAGGUCACAAUAAAUAAACUUUUUUCUCUUCUUCUCUCCACCCCCCCCCCACUUUAAAUAAUAAUUCAGGUUCCCAGCACCAAGCAGCUGUAAAUUGAAGGUUGUGCUUAGUUUUCGUAAGUCUCACAGGGAAUAAUUAAGCUAAGCUCAUAUUGUUUGAUAUAUUAGGGUAAUGACGAGCUGGUAUAAUCUAGCUUGUUCGUUAUUUUCGGGGUGUUGUUUUGGCUUGUUGUUUGUUUCUGUUGUUUUUCCCCCAUUAUCUUUGCAGUUCUGUUAAGAUUACACGUGAAAUGUAGAAAAAUAACAUUUUGGAAACUAGUUUGGUCUAUGAGGUGAUCUAUUUGAAAUGAAUUCUUAGAAAUUUUUAUUAAAUCAGGAGCUUGGGGUUUUUUGGGAGGGAAGCAAAGGUAAAAAAAAUAAUCCACAUUAUCUGAUGUGGCCUGACAUGAUCACUUCAAACCGGCUGGUCCUUUCUCUUCAGUAGUGGAAGAUAAUUAGACUGGGAUAUCUUCAUUAUCAAUUAACCUUCUGAAACUUCAGUGUCAGUAGUUCUUAGCAACAUUAAAAAAAAAAGAGUGUGAUAUUUUUCAAAGUUUUCACUUAAGAUUAACAUGAAAGAAAAUCAUUCCUGAAAUCUACUGUUCUGGUAAGAGCAGAUUUCACAGUAAUAAGUACAUUUGCACAGCA